AGGUAAAACUUCUUCAUCCAAAUAUCCAAAAAGAUGUUAAAGACUCAGAUGGGCUGAAGAAAGAAUACCAACAACCUGGGAGAUAAUUCGUUGAAAUACAAGAAACAAUGUGUAGAGAAGAGAAGAAGAUGGUGAACUAAGUACUUUGAAGAGAACAAUGGACAAGACAUGGUCUUCGAAAUCUUCAAGGAACUUAUAACCCAGUGGAAGAAAAUUGGGUACUGGAAGCAGUUCUACAAUGUGGAACAAAAUAAAUUCAUAAUGAAAGUACAAGGUAAUAGGAGAUUUAAAAGGAGGGAAUCCAUGGUAAUUUUUGUGAUUAAAAUUGCACUUUCUAGAAAACAGGAUAUCACUUAAUACAUCAUCAGAUUGGUACUGACUGAAAUAACAGCUUAUUCUUGCUUCCUCUGAAUGUGACUUUUUACUACUAACUGUGGCUUUUACUAUACUUGUUU